AGUGAACGCUGGCGGUAGGCCUAAUACAUGCAAGUCGAACGGAAGCACAGUAAGCGCUUGCUCUUACGGGUGGCGGGUGGCGGACGGGUGAGGCAUAGAUAGGCAUCUUCUUUUUCGUGGGUGAUUACGUAGGGAAACUUAUGCUAAUAGCGCAUAUGUCCUACGGGUGAAAGCAGGGGAUAUUGGGACUUUUCGUGAUUGUAUUAGCUGGUGUCGGAUUAGCUAGUUGGCGGGGUAAAGGACCACCAAGGCAACGAUGCAUAGCAGGUCUGAGAGGAUGAUCAGCCACACUGGAACUGAGACACGGUCCAGACUCCUACGGGAGGCAGCAGUAGGGAAUAUUGCGCAAUGGGCGCAAGCCUGAUCCAGCAAUACCGCGUGAGUGAAGAAGGCCUUCGGAUCGUAAAGCUCUGUUGUUGGGGAAGAAAAUCAGUGUAAGAAUCCCUGCCUAUUCUGACGGUACCCAAACAGAAAGCACCGGCUAACUACGUG
rnacentral:rRNA from 1 species